UACGAAGGGGGCUAGCGUUGUUCGGAAUCACUGGGCGUAAAGCGCACGUAGGCGGAUCUUUAAGUCAGGGGUGAAAUCCCGAGGCUCAACCUCGGAACUGCCUUUGAUACUGGGGAUCUCGAGUCCGGGAGAGGUGAGUGGAACUGCGAGUGUAGAGGUGAAAUUCGUAGAUAUUCGCAAGAACACCAGUGGCGAAGGCGGCUCACUGGCCCGGAACUGACGCUGAGAGGCGAAAGCGUGGGGAGCGAACGGG
rnacentral:rRNA from 1 species